rnacentral:tRNA from 1 species
GUAUUGGUGGUUCAGUAAUAGCAUUCUCGCCUUCCAUGCGGGAGACCUGGGUUCAAUUCCCGGUCAGUGCA